rnacentral:piRNA from 1 species
UAUUAAUCAAAUCUUCUUGUGGUCUAACA